AACAUCGCGCACCUGCGGGAACCUGCGGAAGGAUCAUUAAUGAAUAAACUUGGUCAAGCUGUUGCUGGUCUCUCGAGACAUGUGCACGCUUGCCACCAACUUUAACCACCUGUGCACCUUUUGUAGACUGGAAACGUUUCUCGAGGCAACUCGGAUUGAGAACUGUUGCGCGCAAGCCAGCUGUUCUUGAGUUUCUCAGUCUAUGUUUUCAUAUACUCCUAAUGUAUGUAAUCGAAUGUA
rnacentral:misc_RNA from 1 species